CCUANGGGUGGCAGCAGUGGGGAAUAUUGCGCAAUGGGGGAAACCCUGACGCAGCAACGCCGCGUGGAGGAAGAAGGCCUUCGGGUUGUAAACUCCUGUCGUUGGGGAAGAAAAAAAUGACGGUACCCAAUGAGGAAGCCACGGCUAACUACGUGCCAGCAGCCGCGGUAAUACGUAGGUGGCAAGCGUUGUCCGGAAUUAUUGGGCGUAAAGGGCGCGUAGGCGGCCUGGUAAGUCAGAUGUGAAACCCCCGGGCUUAACUCGGGGCAUGCAUUUGAAACUGCCGGGCUUGAGUGCAGGAGAGGUAAGUGGAAUUCCUAGUGUAGCGGUGAAAUGCGUAGAUAUUAGGAGGAACACCAGUGGCGAAGGCGACUUACUGGACUGUAACUGACGCUGAGGCGCGAAAGCGUGGGGAGCAAACAGGAUUAGAUACCCCUNUANUC
rnacentral:rRNA from 1 species